GCCGCGGUAGCCCAAUCGGCAGAGGCAGACCGUGAUCAAUCUCAGACUCUUGCUCCAGACUCAGCAUUCGCCGCCGAUCGCCGGAUCGACCGGGCCCGGGCCCCAGACGUCGAAAUGCUGGUUCAAGUCCAGCCCGCGCA
rnacentral:tRNA from 1 species